rnacentral:rRNA from 1 species
CCUACGGGGCGCAGCAGUGGGGAAUAUUGCACAAUGGGCGCAAGCCUGAUGCAGCCAUGCCGCGUGUAUGAAGAAGGCCUUCGGGUUGUAAAGUACUUUCAGCGGGGAGGAAGGCGAUAAGGUUGAUAACCUUGUCGAUUGACGUUACCCGCAAAAGAAGCACCGGCUAACUCCGUGCCAGCAGCCGCGGUAAUACGGAGGGUGCAAGCGUUAAUCGGAAUUACUGGGCGUAAAGCGCACGCAGGCGGUCUGUCAAGUCGGAUGUGAAAUCCCCGGGCUCAACCUGGGAACUGCAUUCGAAACUGGCAGGCUAGAGUCUUGUAGAGGGGGGUAGAAUUCCAGGUGUAGCGGUGAAAUGCGUAGAGAUCUGGAGGAAUACCGGAGGCGAAGGCGGCCCCCUGGACAAAGACUGACGCUCAGGUGCGAAAGCGUGGGGAGCAAACAGGAUUAGAUACCCGUGUAGUC